rnacentral:tRNA from 1 species
AGCCGUAGCUCAGUCGGUUAGAGCGCCUGAUUGUGGAUCAGGAGGUCCCUAGUUCGAAUCUAGGCG